rnacentral:rRNA from 2 species
GGGAUUAUUCAGUCGGGAGGUCGCGGACGCAGAGUGUGGAAUGACCAGAAUGGUUCUCCGGACGGAGCCGUCCACGCCCUGCGCUUUCGUGCCACCCGACGCAUUUGUUUCCCGUCCAGAGGACGCCGCAACCGGUUGGAGAACGGCCUUAAGGGCAGACGAUGGCAGGUGGCCGGUGAUUUUUCCCUCGGGAGAGUCUGCCGGUUGUUAGCCGGUUUCUGUCGCACGGCUCGUGAUCCGACCGUGGUGUCGCGAGACCCCUAGCGGGUCUCUUCGCCUCCUCCUUUCGCGGGAAGCCGGGAAUUGGCGGCACGGUCCCUCCCCCCUGCGGGCGCACUGACUGACUCAGUGGCCCAGCUAUCGGGAGGUCCGGUUGGUAGCCUUUUACCCGUUGGAGUGUCGGCGGUUAGCGGCGAGUAGAUCGGUCACCCACCCGACCCGUCUUGAAACACGGACCAAGGAGUCUAACAUGUGUGCGAGUCAAUGGGUCUCGAAUAAGCCCAGAGGCGCAAUGAAAGCAAAGGCCGGACUUGACUUCGGCUGUGUUGGGAUCCUCCUCUUGUGAAAUGGGGGAGGCGCACCAACGACCCGUCCCAUCCGAUUUAUCGGUGGGGCGGAGUCUGAGCAUACACGUUGGUACCCGAAAGAUGGUGAGCUAUGCCCGGGCAGGACGAAGCCAGAGG